CCGGUCCCCGAAGGACCAGAAUUUCAGCAUUUCCAGACUUAGCCAAAUUUUCAGCUUUUUCACCGUUUUAGCUCUAUUUUCGCUCGUUUUCGCUCGUUUGACCUCCGAUUCAUUUCAAAUCGAACCGAGACUCUCCAAACAUGUUUUCGAGCAUGUUUUCAUCAUCUUUUCAUCCCCGCUAAUGCCGGAUUUAGUUCAUGGUCCGACAUAGCCUUUCGGGUCCCGUUUUCGCGCCUACGCGCACCGAAUCGCCCGGAUGCUUCCAAACUUCACCGAACUUCACCGGAACCCUUCAAAUGGCUCUCCAACCAAAUUUACACCGUAGCUUCAUAAUUUU
rnacentral:lncRNA from 1 species